GUGUCAGCAGCCGCGGUAAUACGAAGGGGGCUAGCGUUGUUCGGAAUUACUGGGCGUAAAGGGCGCGUAGGCGGUCUGAUAAGUUAGGUGUGAAAUUCCCGGGCUUAACCUGGGGGCUGCACUUAAUACUGUUGGGCUUGAAUUCGGGAGAGGAUAGUGGAAUUCCCAGUGUAGAGGUGAAAUUCGUAGAUAUUGGGAAGAACACCAGUGGCGAAGGCGACUAUCUGGACCGACAUUGACGCUGAGGCGCGAAAGCGUGGGGAGCAAACAGGAUUAGAUACCCCGGUAGUCC
rnacentral:rRNA from 1 species